CUUCCAUAAACAAGUAGGUAUAGGGGCCAGGAGAUAUAGGACUUGGUAGAGCAGUUGCAUAGCAUACACAGGCCUUGGGUCCUCUCUCCUCAGCACUACACACAGCCACAUAGACAGAGACACACAUACACAGAGACAUACACAGACACAUAGACAGAGACACACAUACACAGAGACAUACACAGACACAUAAGCACAUGCACACAACACAGAAUAGCAAUCUCCUUUGCUUAACUCUGAUCUGGACCCAAUGAUUUGUUUGACCAAUAAGGAGAGAGAUGUGAGUCUGGGAUGUCCAGAGUAUUUCCAUGGCAAUCCACAUAGCAUAGGACCCAGGCUCUCUCUAAUAUUAAAACACUGGUUCUUGGAAUCUCAAGUGGUCACUGAAGAUACCUGGCAUCCAGAGGCUCCACAUUGGAAAGGCCCAGCUCAAUGCUUCAGCAGGUGCCAGCUCAGAACCUUAGCCAGCAUUCCAGCUGUCCUCACCGUGCCAACUGUGUGAGAACCUACCCUGUUCUAGCCCAGGGCCACAGAGUAGCCACUGUUGAUGGCACCCAGAAUGGACGAAUCAAGCAGGCUGAGGCCUGUUGAGUUACUGACCCAGAGAAAGAAGAGGCUCACAGCAUUCUUGGACUGCAUUCAGGACAGUGUGCACUCAAGGUUAUCACUCUACAACUGGUCCCACG
rnacentral:lncRNA from 1 species